rnacentral:rRNA from 1 species
CCUACGGGAGGCAGCAGUGAGGAAUAUUGGUCAAUGGACGAGAGUCUGAACCAGCCAAGUAGCAUGAAGGAUGACUGCCCUAUGGGUUGUAAACUUCUUUUAUAUGGGAAUAAAAUGUUCCACGUGUGGGAUUUUGUAUGUACCAUAUGAAUAAGGAUCGGCUGACUCCGUGCCAGCAGCCGCGGUAAUACGGAGGAUCCGAGCGUUAUCCGGAUUUAUUGGGUUUAAAGGGAGCGUAGGUGGAUUGUUAAGUCAGUUGUGAAAGUUUGCGGCUCAACCGUAAAAUUGCAGUUGAAACUGGCAGUCUUGAGUACAGUAGAGGUGGGCGGAAUUCGUGGUGUAGCGGUGAAAUGCUUAGAUAUCACGAAGAACUCCGAUUGCGAAGGCAGUUCACUGGACUGCAACUGACACUGAGGCUCGAAAGUGUGGGUAUCAAACAGGAUUAGAUACCCCAGUAGUC